CAACUUGAGAGUUUGAUCCUGGCUCAGAACGAACGCUGGCGGCAGGCUUAACACAUGCAAGUCGAGCGCCCCGCAAGGGGAGCGG
rnacentral:rRNA from 2 species